GCAAACUUGGUCAUUUAGAGGAAGUAAAAGUCGUAACAAGGUCUCCGUAGGUGAACCUGCGGAGGGAUCAUUACAGAGUUUUCCAAACUCCAAACCCAUGUGAACUUACCUACUGUUGCCUCGGCGGCAGGUCAUCUCCGGGUGACUGGCUGCCGGUGGACCACUAAACUCUUGUUAAUAUUUGUCAUUCUGAAUACAAAACUUAAUAAGUUAAAACUUUCAACAACGGAUCUCUUGGUUCUGGCAUCGAUGAAGAACGCAGC
rnacentral:misc_RNA from 1 species